rnacentral:rRNA from 1 species
AUUGAACGCUGGCGGCAGGCCUAACACAUGCAAGUCGAACGAGUGGCGGAGGGGUGAGUAAUGGCUGGGAAACUGGGUGACGUACGGGUCUAACUGCUGUAAACGGUAGCUAAUACCGCAUAACAUCCUUUGGGCUCAGAUGGGAUGAGCUAGUCGGUGGGGUAACGGCUCACCUAGGCGACGAUGCCUAGCUGGUCUGAGAGGAUGACCGGCCACACUGGAACUGAGACACGGUCCAGACUCCUACGGGAGGCAGCAGUGGGGAAUAUUGCGCAAUGGGCGAAAGCCUGACGGAGCCAUGCCGCGUGUAUGAAGAAGGCUUUCGGGUUGUAAAGUACUUUCAGCGGGGAGGCGUUAUCUGACGAAGAAGCAACGGCUAACUCCGUGCCAGCAGCCGCGGUAAUUC